rnacentral:rRNA from 1 species
UGGGGAAUAUUGCACAAUGGGCGCAAGCCUGAUGCAGCCAUGCCGCGUGUGUGAAGAAGGCCUUCGGGUUGUAAAGCACUUUCAGUCGUGAGGAAGGUAGUGUAGUUAAUAGCUGCAUUAUUUGACGUUAGCGACAGAAGAAGCACCGGCUAACUCCGUGCCAGCAGCCGCGGUAAUACGGAGGGUGCGAGCGUUAAUCGGAAUUACUGGGCGUAAAGCGCAUGCAGGUGGUUUGUUAAGUCAGAUGUGAAAGCCCGGGGCUCAACCUCGGAAUAGCAUUUGAAACUGGCAGACUAGAGUACUGUAGAGGGGGGUAGAAGUUUCAGGUGUAGCGGUGAAAUGCGUAGAGAUCUGAAGGAAUACCGGUGGCGAAGGCGGCCCCCUGGACAGAUACUGACACUCAGAUGCGAAAAGCGUGGGGAGCAAAACAGGAUUAGAUACCCUGGUAGUCCACGCCGUAAACGAUGUCUACUUGGAGGUUGUGGCCUUGAGCCGUGGCUUUCGGAGCUAACGCGUUAAGUAGACCGCCUGGGAGUACGGUCGCAAGAUUAAAA